GACAGAGGGGGCAAGCGUUGCUCGGAAUCACUGGGCGUAAAGGGCGCGUAGGCGGGAGGACAAGUCGGGCGUGAAAUCUCCGGGCUCAACCCGGAGGAGGCGGCCGAAACUGUUUUUCUUGAGGGAGGCAGAGGAGUCUGGAAUUCCCGGUGUAGCGGUGAAAUGUGUAGAGAUCGGGAGGAACACCGGUGGCGAAGGCGGGACUCUGGGCCUACCCUGACGCUGAGGCGCGAAGGCGUGGGGAGCAAACGGG
rnacentral:rRNA from 1 species